AUCCUACGCUUUUUUGCGUCUUCAGCCAUGUUUACACGGCAGCCUAUGGCUUAGCUCGCUAGUUUUAUGUCGACAUUAACGGAAAUAAGCGAAAAAAGCAAGUUGUUUACAAAUAAAAUAUCCAUAAUUCCAUUCCAAAGAUAACAUCUAAUCUACGAGUAUUCAGACGGGAAAUACAUGCUUCCACUUGCUGCUGUCCUGAAUGAAGGUCAAACUUGCUGCCUAAGUUCUUCCAUGAUCAGAGUCUGGGCCGCUGGAGGAUGAAGUUACGAGCCGAUAUAUCUGGAAGCAGUGGCGCAGACCUCGGAAUGGACCCGUGGAACAGUUAAAGAUAUUUCUAAUGACCCAGAGAGGACUUUCUAUAAAACCAGACUAUAAAACAACAGACUAAUGAAAAGGGGGCAAAAGCAUGCAGUUCGUCACCCCUGGCUUUUCGUCCAGUUGCGCAAAGGCUUCAUUUCACAAAU